rfam:Ipomoea nil DNA, scaffold: scaffold3322, cultivar: Tokyo-kokei standard.
GCCUUCUUAGCUCAGUGGUAGAGCGCGUGGCUUUUAACCACGUGGUUGUGGGUUCGAUUCCCACAGACGGUG